CAGCCACCCCAGAGCCCCGAGGAUCCCAACUCUCCCAGUGCUCCCAGCACGGGGCACCCCUGGGUGCUCCCUGUCCCCCCUGACCCCACUGUCCCCCUGACCCCACUGUCCCCCCUGACCCCAAUGUCCCCCCUGACCCCACUGUCCCCCUGACCCCAAUGUCCCCCCUGACCCCAGUGUCCCCCCUGACCCCGAUGUCCCCCCUGACCCCGCUGUCCCCCCAGGCAGCAAUUUCGGGGGCGGGGGCAGCUACAACGACUUCGGCAGCUACAACAACCAGGCCUCGAGCUUCGGGCCCAUGAAGGGCGGCAGCUUCGGGGGGCGCAGCUCGGGCCCCUACGGCGGCGGUGAGUCCCCAAAACCCCCAAAAAUCACCUGGGGAACCCCAAAAUAUCCCAAAUGUACCGGGGGCAGCUUCGGGGGGCGCAGCUCGGGGCCCUACGGCGGCGGUGAGUCCCCAAACCCCCAAAAAUCACCUGGGGAACCCCAAAAUCACCUGGGGAACCCCAAAAAUCACCUGGGGAACCCCAAAAUAUCCCACAUGUACCGGGGGCAGCUUCGGGGGGCGCAGCUCGGGGCCCUACGGCGGCGGCGGCUACGGCAGCUCCAGCGGCGGCGGCAGCUACGGAGGAGGAAGGAGGUUUUAACGGCCAGGAGCCGGAGCUGGGCGGGAGCCGGGGCGGCCCCUGGAGCCGGCGCUGGGCCGGGAGAGCCCCGGGACCGUCUGGGGACCCCCCGGGAUCCCCCCAGGACCCUGCUGGGAGCCCCCCGGAUCCCCCGGGACUUCCCGGGAUCCCCCCGGGACCCUCAGGGGACCCCCGGGACCUCCGGGAGUCCCCCCGGAAUUCCCGGGGCCGCCGAGGCCGGGUCCCCCCGGGUCCCCCCGGGUCCCCCCGUAGUUCCGGAGCGGAGUGGCCGGAAUCCCCCCCGUGUCCUGUACCCCCCCUCAAUAAAUGUCUCUUGGGAUUUUUUUUUUUAAUUGGUUUUUACCAUUAUCGUUCAUUUUAGAGCUGGGGGUGGCGCUCUGCUCCUGAUUGGUCACCUCAGCUGUCAGUCACAGCCGGGCUCCGCCCCCGCCCACAUCUGCUGUCACCCGGGGCGUCCCCAAAGUGUCCCUGAGUGUCCCCCAAUGUCCCCGGCCCCUGGUGGGUGACACAGAGGUGCCAACCCUGUCCCCCAAUGUCCCCCAAUGUCCCCCAAUGUC
rnacentral:lncRNA from 1 species